GACGUAGGGCGCGAGCGUUGUCCGGAUUUAUUGGGCGUAAAGAGCUCGUAGGCGGCUUGUCGCGUCGACUGUGAAAACUCGGGGCUCAACUCCGAGCUUGCAGUCGAUACGGGCAGGCUAGAGUUCGGUAGGGGAGACUGGAAUUCCUGGUGUAGCGGUGAAAUGCGCAGAUAUCAGGAGGAACACCGGUGGCGAAGGCGGGUCUCUGGGCCGAUACUGACGCUGAGGAGCGAAAGCGUGGGGAGCGAACAGG
rnacentral:rRNA from 1 species